CCUCGGGGCGCAGCAGUGGGGAAUAUUGGACAAUGGGCGAAAGCCUGAUCCAGCCAUGCCGCGUGUGUGAAGAAGGCCUUCGGGUUGUAAAGCACUUUCAGUGGGGAAGAAAGCCUUGGGGCUAAUACCCUCGAGGAAGGACAUCACCCACAGAAGAAGCACCGGCUAACUCCGUGCCAGCAGCCGCGGUAAUACGGAGGGUGCGAGCGUUAAUCGGAAUUACUGGGCGUAAAGCGCGCGUAGGCGGUCUGAUAAGCCGGUUGUGAAAGCCCCGGGCUCAACCUGGGAACGGCAUCCGGAACUGUCAGGCUAGAGUGCAGGAGAGGAAGGUAGAAUUCCCGGUGUAGCGGUGAAAUGCGUAGAGAUCGGGAGGAAUACCAGUGGCGAAGGCGGCCUUCUGGACUGACACUGACGCUGAGGUGCGAAAGCGUGGGUAGCAAACAGGAUUAGAUACCCUUGUAGUC
rnacentral:rRNA from 1 species